rnacentral:rRNA from 1 species
AAUAGAUACCCGGGUAGUCCACACCGUAAACGAUGAGUGCUAAGUGUUAGAGGGUUUCCGCCCUUUAGUGCUGCAGCUAACGCAUUAAGCACUCCGCCUGGGGAGUACGGUCGCAAGACUGAAACUCAAAGGAAUUGACGGGGGCCCGCACAAGCGGUGGAGCAUGUGGUUUAAUUCGAAGCAACGCGAAGAACCUUACCAGGUCUUGACAUCCUCUGACAACUCUAGAGAUAGAGCGUUCCCCUUCGGGGGACAGAGUGACAGGUGGUGCAUGGUUGUCGUCAGCUCGUGUCGUGAGAUGUUGGGUUAAGUCCCGCAACGAGCGCAACCCUUGAUCUUAGUUGCCAGCAUUUAGUUGGGCACUCUAAGGUGACUGCCGGUGACAAACCGGAGGAAGGUGGGGAUGACGUCAAAUCAUCAUGCCCCUUAUGACCUGGGCUACACACGUGCUACAAUGGAUGGUACAAAGGGCUGCAAGACCGCGAGGUCAAGCCAAUCCCAUAAAACCAUUCUCGGUUCGGA